GUCGCCACCGCAUGCUUGCCCCCAAUCUACAAUACAUCGGCAAUAGGGCCCCCCGCUUCUCCAAGUGAACCCUGCUCACCAUCUCAGGACUACCCUGACCAACUUGCGCCUGCGGCCAC
rnacentral:lncRNA from 1 species